rnacentral:rRNA from 1 species
CCCUUAGAUGUCCUGGGCCGCACGCGCGCUACACUGAUGCAUUCAACGAGUAUUUCCUUGGCCGAGAGGCCUGGGCAAUCUUUUAAACCUGCAUCGUGAUAGGGAUAGAUUAUUGCAAUUAUUAAUCUUGAACGAGGAGUUCCUAGUAAACGCAAAUCAUCAAUUUGCAUUGAUUACGUCCCUGCCCUUUGUACACACCGCCCGUCGCACCUACCGAUUGAAUGGUCCGGUGAAAUCUCGGGAUUGUGGCCAGUUCACUUUAUUGGGAGUUGGCUGCGAGAACUUGCUUAAACCUUAUCAUUUAGAGGAAGGUGAAGUCGUAACA